UCUAUCUUGACUUAACAAAAAGUGAAACACCCGAAUCUUUUCAACUUCGACAAGUGACCCCUUUUGCUACCAUAUGUACUAGAGAUUCUGGGAGACGUGGUCCAAGUCAAGAUAAC
rnacentral:rRNA from 1 species